rnacentral:rRNA from 1 species
AGAAUCAACGCUGGCGGCGUGCCUAAUACAUGCAAGUCGAACGCGAAAGUCCCGCAAGGGAUGAGUAGAGUGGCAAACGGGUGAGUAACGCGUGGGUGACCUGCCUUCGAGUGGGGGGAUAACGUUUCGAAAGGAACGCUAAUACCGCAUGACAUCCUGCUUUUUAACAGGCGGAGAUCAAAGCCGGGGAUCGCAAGACCUGGCGCUUGAAGAGGGGCCCGCGUCCGAUUAGCUAGUUGGUGGGGUAAUGGCUCACCAAGGCAUCGAUCGGUA